AGAAGGAAAGGGAGCCCCAGCACCCCGAAAUCGGACUGCCCUGCCUGAUCGUGCUGCUGUCGGCCGUCCCCCUGUCCGCCCUGGCCUCGUCCUGCUGCGUCCUCUUCAUCCUCCUCCGCGGGAGAGGUAUUCCGGAGAGAAGGGGACAAUAUGACAUCGCUGUGCGGGCAGAGGAGACCAGCCGGGAGCAGUCCGAAAACCUCAACUUCGCCUCUCAGCCCCGGCGGCCCAGGAACUGAGAAACUUCGGCCUCAGGAGACCCCCGCUAGCAGCACCUGGGGUUCAAGCCGGACCCGGUCCGGGCCUCUGCGUGUAGCGCUUUGUUGUUGUUGUUGUUGUUGUUGUUGUUGGCGUUGUGCUGAGAAAGUGUUUUAAUUCCGUCCGCCUGCCCGCCAGAAGCACCGACCCCACGGCACGCGUGAAGUCACGACACACACCGCGCGCCGGCCGCACGUCUUGAUCAGCUCAGGGGCGCGUUCAGCUGCAUGAUCGCGACGGGCACCGGUCCGGCUCGGCCCAGGCCCACUGAAAACACGGGCUUCUGCACCCGACGGAAGUGCAGUGCUGUUAUCAUGAAGGAGGGGGUGAUCACACGCACGGCACGUGUUCGCGUAAUUCUGAGAAAGUGGCCUCGCUCUUACUGGUAAUGUGCAAUACCAACGUGCAAACGUGAUGUUCAGUCAUCGCCAUGUGCAAAUCGCCUGGGUGAUCAUCACCUGAUCGCGCAAAUGCCACACAAUACCUACAUGAUCUUUAAGCAGACUUGCAGUUUUAUUUAUUUUUUUAGCAGCGGGAUCGAUCGCACGGUUAUAACGGUUGUGUUCAACGUCAGGCUCAAAUCGCGAUAUUAUUAUUUUUUUUUUUUCUAUAUUUCCAGCGGGCAGUCAGUCCGAGCGCCGGACCGACGCCGAAAAGAACAGCGUGCACGAAGCAGGCUUAUGAGCGCCAACAGAAGGAUUGAUGCACUGUCCUGUGUGGCGAUGUCAAAGCUCUUUGGUUUCAGUUUAAAAAAAAAACCAACAACCAUAAUAAAUCAU